UAAUACGUAGGGGGCUAGCGUUGUCCGGAAUCAUUGGGCGUAAAGAGCGCGUAGGCUGCCAGAUAAGUCCGGUGUGAAAGUCACAGGCUCAACCUGUGAAUGCCGCUGGAAACUGUCUGGCUAGAGUCCGGAAGGGGCGAGUGGAAUUCCUGGUGUAGCGGUGAAAUGCGCAGAUAUCAGGAGGAACACCAAUGGCGAAGGCAGCUCGCUGGGACGGUACUGACGCUGAGGCGCGAAAGCGUGGGGAGCAAACAGGAUUAGAUACCCUGGUAGUCCACGCCGUAAACGAUGGGCACUAGGUGUCGGAGGUGUCGACUCCUCCGGUGCCAAAGCUAACGCAUUAAGUGCCCCGCCUGGGGAGUACGGCCGCAAGGCUA
rnacentral:rRNA from 1 species